rnacentral:rRNA from 1 species
GACGAACGCUGGCGGCGUGCCUAAUACAUGCAAGUCGAACGCAGUGGGGACGGGUGAGUAACACGUGGGUAACCUCCCAUAAAAGGGGAUAACACUUGGAAACAGGUGCUAAACCGAUACUGAUGGAUGGACACGCGGUGCAAUAGCUAGUUGGGGAGGUAACGGCUUAACAAGUCCACGAUGCAUAGCCGGCAUGAGAGGUGGAACGGCCACACUGGGACUGAGACACGGCACAGACGCCUACGGUAGGCAGCAGGGGGGAAUCUUCGGCAAUGGACGAAAGUCUGACCGAGCAACGCCGCGUGACGGAAGAAGGUUUUCGGAUCGUAAAACUCUGUUGUUAGAGAAGCGGUAUCUACCCAGAAAGCCACGGCUAACUACGUGCCAGCAGCCGCGGUAAUAC